GCUCGGCAGACGCCUGUGUGAUGUUGUCCAUGCGCAGGCAGUACGGCGCCACCACCACGUCCUUCCCCACCAGCAGCGUGCAGCGCAUCUCGUCAGAGGGGCCGCGCUCUGUCAUACACUGCACGGACACGCGGUGCCCGGCAGGUCUGCUAGGCUCAUUCCCAUGCCGAGGCCCAGUCCGGGGCCGUCCAGCUUGGUGUCCUGCAGCAGGCCGCCCAGGCCUGGCAGCCCCACGCUGCCGUGGCUGAGGUAGCCCACCUCCUUACUACCGUCCACUGGCUGCACUGGAGGCAUCUCCUCAUCCUGGACGAAGUCCACGAAGUUGGAGGGAACGAGGCCUCUCUGGCCGUCCAGCAGCUCUCCUGGGAGGCACAGGUGGGAAAAGUCUCAGAACUAGUGGAAACAAACUUUGUGACAAUGACACGAUUCACUUGCCAUUAAUGACAAUUCAGCAUUUACAGUUGUUGCCCGUAACAUUAAUUACAUAUCAAGCUAUUGGUGUUUCCCUAGUGCAGACAUUAUGAAUCAAACUGAUAAGUAGCAUGUGCAUUUGUGCUGGUGGCUACAAGAUAAGCAUAAUUGUUGCUUUCUGUAAAAUUCAAUAAAAGUUUAUAUAUUUAGAACCACA